rnacentral:snoRNA from 1 species
UUGACUAUACUUUCAGGGAUCAUUUCUAUAGUUCAUUACUAGAGAAGUUUCUCAGAAUGUAUAGAGAAAAAAAGAAUCCACAGA